GAGCAAACAGGAUUAGAUACCCUGGUAGUCCACGCCCUAAACGAUGUCUACUAGUUGUCGGGUCUUAAUUGACUUGGUAACGCAGCUAACGCGUGAAGUAGACCGCCUGGGGAGUACGGUCGCAAGAUUAAAACUCAAAGGAAUUGACGGGGACCCGCACAAGCGGUGGAUGAUGUGGAUUAAUUCGAUGCAACGCGAAAAACCUUACCUACCCUUGACAUGUACAGAAUCCCGAAGAGAUUUGGGAGUGUUCGAAAGAAAACUGUAACACAGGUGCUGCAUGGCUGUCGUCAGCUCGUGUCGUGAGAUGUUGGGUUAAGUCCCGCAACGAGCGCAACCCUUGUCAUUAGUUGCUACGAAAGGGCACUCUAAUGAGACUGCCGGUGACAAACCGGAGGAAGGUGGGGAUGACGUCAAGUCCUCAUGGCCCUUAUGGGUAGGGCUUCACACGUCAUACAAUGGUACAUACAGAGGGCCGCCAACCCGCGAGGGGGAGCUAAUCCCAGAAAGUGUAUCGUAGUCCGGAUUGUAGUCUGCAACUCGACUACAUGAAGUUGGAAUCGCUAGUAAUCGCGGAUCAGCAUGUCGCGGUGAAUACGUUCCCGGGUCUUGUACACACCGCCCGUCACACCAUGGGAGCGGGUUUUACC
rnacentral:rRNA from 1 species